ensembl:lncRNA
CAAAGAAAUUAAUUAAAAAGAGUCACUGCUUACUCGACUGAAACCGGAGCUCGUCUGUUCUCCAAGUGAAAACCUGAACCAUUUCAAAUCCAGAGACAGAGACAAAAUACCUAGGACGUUUCGUCUUUGUUGUCCUUUGAACAUUCCACUGAGGACACUAAUCAGCUCAGAUCUUAUCUAACGGUUAUGUAACACUGCCGUAUCUCCAAAAGACCCUCGGCCCAGACUCGUGUUGUCACGAUACCAACAUUUUGAUCGUACUGAUAGCACAAUAAAGGAAUACUGCAGAGUUUUUUCAACCUAAUCUUCACUCUAUACUGGCAUCUGUAAUGUAUUACCGCUAACAAUAACUGCAACGCAUUUCCCUGUAUAUGUUAAAGAGCAGAAAACUGUUUAACCCGAUGAUAAUGGUGGUAUAUAAAAAAAUAAAUAAAUAUAAAUACAGAACACGCAAAGAAAUGCUGUAAAGCAAAAGACGCCUUCAAAAAUAAUAAAAUUAAAAUCUACAAAAAAUUAAAUAACAAAGAACAGUAGGCAGUACUAAACUAAAAGUCUACAUCUGGAGUGGCUACACUUUGUGCAGUUUUAUAAGGACAUUAGCUGGGAAGUUUAACCGAGCAUCUUCGACAACCUGUUACAGUUCUUCUGGAGAAUUGCUUCUUUUUUUUUUGUUGCAUGCAAAACCCAACAGCCUUCAUUAAAAAGUGGUCUGUUACGUAGUCAGGGGCUUUCUUUACUGACAUUCAACCAUUUUUCUCUAGCAUUUUUUUUCUGCAAUUUGCAGAGUUUUUUUUUUAAUGUGUGUGCGCUUUUUUCCGCAAAACUACCCGAACUGGCGAACGCGCACUCGCACGAGACUGUCUAGCACGGUCUUUUACAGCGAUGUUUGUUGGCAAACGAGACCUUAUAGCUAGCUUUUCUCCCGUUCGACACGCGUAAAUCGAAGGGGGUUUUAGCCGAACGUGCGUGUGAUGACGUCACGUGACGCGUCUUGGCCCAAAUCUGCGGGAAUUUUGAAGGAAAAAAAAACAUUUUUUCAAUCGCAAGGCGUUUGCUUGAUUUCGUGUUCAUUUCUGUGAUCGCAAAAAUUGCGAAAUCCUGGGGGGACUUUUUUUUUUUUUGUAUUGACUCAGUGAUGACAAAGUCAUAAAAUAAACAUGAACAAAAUUUGCACUAAAGAAAAUAAGACUUUUACACAGCAUCGUAUGUAUUUGUUCAUUUGGUUAUUUAUUCAAGUUAUACCUUAAAGUUAUAUUAUGGAUUAUAAAUGGAAUUUGGGCAACACCAUUAUUGGAACAAUACGGUAAGUGGAAAUGAAUACGAAAAAAAAAAAAGGAAAAAAAAAGAGGUGCUAUACCUCUUUAAUUACGUGACACAUGCACUCAUGAGAAAUUCUUGCGAAUUCAUUCAAACGAGGGUGAAAGCUGUCGUAAGAAAACCCUUGAACAGUGUCCCGAAGAACUUGAACGCAACGCUGCCCUGAGGAAAGUUCCUCAGUUUGCAGUGUUCUGAACCUGAAAUCUAGUCCUCCGUGCGGUCAUGUGCUAAGAAGUAAAAGAAGAACCUCACCUAUUUACAGAAUAAGAGCCAGUCCUUCUAAACCUCAUUCCUGCAGAGAGGAUUUGAAUUAAAUAAUCCAGAAUUAGUAGGUAAUCUAGCUGUCCGAGAAAACUGGGCAUGAAAGAGACGUCCUUUUCAUUUCGAGAGGCACUCCGGCGAGACGACGAGAUCUCGGAAGCGAGAAAACGACCGUUUCUAUUGUGAUACAACUAGACGGCGUGGACAGUGGAGACACGCGUAGAGACAAGGACACGCACGCGAUCCAAUCCAAUUACGAUAAUUAAUCUGAGUGUCUAUCCAGAACACUGGACUAUUUCUGAAUGCACGUCUAGGUUUUCACGUCCGUCCGUCCCCCCUCGUGUGCGUAACGAAUGAUAUUAUAUAUUUAGUCAGUUGGGGUUAUACUUUAGGCCUUUCGGAUCACGCGUACAUACGCAGCACAGACUAAGAAAAGCAGCGGCCAUUUUUUUAAACCCCUGAACAUUCUCUCUGUGCUUUCUCACACCCAGACACACGAGGGCAAACGGGAUUUAUUUUAGAACAUAUUUGCUCAAGUUUAAAUCAAAUAGCGUCUGCGUGCACAUACUGCGACUUUGUUCCCUCACACUGAAGGCUUUGUUUGCCUGAACACAGAGCCUGAGGUUUUGGUUUAGAGGUGUGGCUUUUAUACACAACU